GGGCCCCGCACAAGCAGCGGAGCGUGUGGUUUAAUUCGAUGCUACACGAAGAACCUUACCAGGGUUUGACAUGCAAGUGGUAGGAACCGAAAGGCGACCGACCUUCGGGAGCUUGCACAGGUGCUGCAUGGCUGUCGUCAGCUCGUGUCGUGAGAUGUUCGGUUAAGUCCGCUAACGAGCGCAACCCUCGCUGUAUGUUAUAUGUGUCAUACGGGACUGCCGGUAUCAAGCCGGAGGAAGGUGGGGAUGACGUCAAGUCAGCAUGGCCUUUAUGUCUGGGGCUACACACACGCUACAAUGGCCAGUACAAUAGGUUGCAAAACCGCGAGGUGGAGCCAAUCCUAAAAGCUGGUCUCAGUUCGGAUUGCAGGCUGCAACUCGCCUGCAUGAAGUCGGAGUUGCUAGUAACCGCGCGUCAGCUAUAGUGCGGUGAAUACGUUCCCGGGCCUU
rnacentral:rRNA from 1 species